AACGAACGCUGGCGGCAUGCCUAACACAUGCAGGUCGAACGAGACCUUCGGGUCUAGUGGCGCACGGGUGCGUAACGCGUGGGAACCUGCCCUUAGGUUCGGAAUAACUCCCCGAAAGGGGUGCUAAUACCGGAUAAUGUCUUCGGUCCAAAGAUUUAUCGCCUUUGGAUGGGCCCGCGUUGGAUUAGCUAGUUGGUAGGGUAAAAGCCUACCAAGGCGACGAUCCAUAGCUGGUCUGAGAGGAUGAUCAGCCACACUGGGACUGAGACACGGCCCAGACUCCUACGGGAGGCAGCAGUGGGGAAUAUUGGACAAUGGGCGAAAGCCUGAUCCAGCAAUGCCGCGUGAGUGAUGAAGGCCUUAGGGUUGUAAAGCUCUUUUACCCGGGAUGAUAAUGACAGUACCGGGAGAAUAAGCUCCGGCUAACUCCGUG
rnacentral:rRNA from 1 species